rnacentral:rRNA from 1 species
GUGUUUAUUUUACCUUGUUGCUUCGGCGGGCCCGCCUUAACUGGCCGCCGGGGGGCUUACGCCCCCGGGCCCGCGCCCGCCGAAGACACCCUCGAACUCUGUCUGAAGAUUGUAGUCUGAGUGAAAAUAUAAAUUAUUUAAAACUUUCAACAACGGAUCUCUUGGUUCCGGCAUCGAUGAAGAACGCAGCGAAAUGCGAUACGUAAUGUGAAUUGCAAAUUCAGUGAAUCAUCGAGUCUUUGAACGCACAUUGCGCCCCCUGGUAUUCCGGGGGGCAUGCCUGUCCGAGCGUCAUUUCUGCCCUCAAGCACGGCUUGUGUGUUGGGCCCCGUCCUCCGAUCCCGGGGGACGGGCCCGAAAGGCAGCGGCGGCACCGCGUCCGGUCCUCGAGCGUAUGGGGCUUUGUCACCCGCUCUGUAGGCCCGGCCGGCGCUUGCCGAUCAACCCAAAUUUUUAUCCAGGUUGACCUCGGAUCAGGUAGGGAUACCCGCUGAACUUAAGCAUAUCAA